AUGAAGCUCUCAGUUUAGAGAUCAAGAUGAUUGGGGGAUAAGAAGAAUAAAAACAUUCCUGCAGGACUAGUCUGGGCAGAAGAGGAGUUGUGGUAACUAGAUGUGAGGAGAAAGAGAGGAAGGAGGCACAGAGCAGUUGGAGCUUGCUGCCUGGAAGAAUGACGUUUUAGAGACAAGGUCUGACUAUGUUGCCCAGGCUGGACUUCAACUCCUCAGUACAAGUGAUCCUCCUGCCUGAGCCUACUGAAUAGCUGGGACUACAGGCCUGCACCACCAUGCCCUGCUUUAGUUAGAGCAUCUUAAAAUGAUGCUGUUAUGUUAAUUCAAUUAAGAAAGUAAACUAGUUCUAUGAUCCAAGCACAUAGUUGUGACUCAAUUCAUGUUGUUUUUAAUCCUGAAAUGAUAUUGUAAAAUAAGAGCUUUG
rnacentral:sRNA from 1 species